UAAGAUUGUAACUGAAGACAGGCCAGGGUGAUCAGCCAUCACCUGGAGGAUAAAGGAUGAGAAAUCUAAUGAGGGGUCAGGAAUUUUUUGCCCUUCGAUUCAUAUGGUGGAUUUUGAUUUGUCCUAGAUCUCAUAUUGACAUGGACUUUCCCAAUUUGAGAACUGAAGAGUCCUGCAUCCUGGGAAACCCUUUGCAUCUGAAACAUCAGAAAUUUGGUCAACCUAGGAAGAAUGCUACCCACUGAAAAUUGAAACGGACUGGAAUUGAACAAGUAAUAACCAUUCUAUUGUAUUUAGACACAUUUAUUUGGAACUUAUUUGCUAUAAUAGUGUUCUUGAAAAAAUACCUAGCUUAAGUAAGACAACAUCAAUUACCUUCCUUCAUUUUGCUUCACCAUCCUUUUUUAUUUUUAUUUGUGAUUACUACUAUCACUUAUCUAUUUAAUCAGUCCAGACGUAAUAAUUAUCCUGUAUUCCAUACUUUUCAUUAAUUUACAGAUUCAUUCAAACCCUGUGUAUGCUGACUCAGCCAUCUAAAAUAUCUAAUUGGUUUUUUCUCUAUUUUUCUUCCCAGACAGUACUAGUUCAUAUUCUCCUAUUUCCUCACUUGGAACACUGAUAUUAACACUUAGGUGCAUAACAUAAUUAUCCAGUGAGCUUGUGAAAGGUUCCCUAGACACACCUGAAAGGCUCUUAUCAUAGGUUCAGUGUGGAAGAGGGGAUCUUAUUAUUUAAAUUACCCCAAUAACUGUGAUGGUAAAAGUUACAGUUUAGAAACAGUGACCUGGAAUUCUACUGAACCCUUCUUAUGAGUGGUUUAUGUAGUAAUAAAAAUCCCCUCUAUACUGGGAAUUUAGUAAUGAUGAUUUUCUAAAGGAAAAAAAUAUUUUAUAUGUCUCUGUAGUAGAAUAAAUAGUUGUCCUAAAAUAAUCUGUUCUCAAAUCUGUGGAAAAAAAUAUGCUUCCUCGCCCCUUGAUUAAGGAUGGGAUUUUAAGUGUUUAGGACUUAAGGGGUUAUAUUUAAACUUUAAUUCUCAAAUGCAAGCAGUAGCCACAAAAAAAAAGGUACUCACCUCAACCUCCAUUGGAAAUUAUCAAAUGCUGAUGAUGAUCCUAAACUCCCAAAUCAUACUAGUUUUCAUAUAUAAAAUUAACUUGAUGUGGCUCACAUGCAACUUCUUUCCAUACUUAUGUCUUAGAAUUUAUGGGGAGAUCAACAAGGUGGCACUAUUGAAAUGGUCAUUGUCAUUUGAGAUUAAAAUACAGGGCAGACAGAAGAUGUGUCAUUUUUGGUGACACAUCUUUGUAUUCAAGUUGCUGUUUCACGUCCUUUUAAAGUAAAUAUAUGUGACACCAUCAAUGUAAAAGCCAAUGUUGUUACAAUAGUGUACAAGGCCAGACAUGGCUCCAUGCUCCUUCAAUGAUCUUAUCCGUCAGUUUCUCCUGUUCUUGCUCUAAUCCUAGUAUCCUGUUUCCCUUGUUUGUCUUCUGCUCUGUGCAUUCUCAACAGAAGUGAUCAUUUUCCCACGGGCACAUAAAUGGAUUCUUGGUGAGAGAAAGAUGGUGAAAAUAAAUCUUACUUUUUCUUUGUGCUUACUCAACUCAGCUCAGCCCUCUUCUCCUUGGAAUCACACCUUGUCGUGGCUAGCAAAAGCUUUCCUGUGUUACUCCAUGGCAUAGAAUUUACUUUAUCUGUUUCUACACUGUCUGAAACUGAGUGGCUAAGUAUGCCUCGCUAAACCUACUUAACAAACAAAUCCAAGUCCAUGCUCUUCAUCUUGGCCUUUAUGCGUCAUAAACAUGAUAUUUUGGCCUGAACAUAGCUUUGUUUUUCUUCUCAAUUUGUUCAGAAACUGAGAAGAGAAAAAUAUAUACAGGCAGUUUUCUUGAAUAGGCCAACUUGUAUGUUCCAUAAGUUAUUCUUUUGUGCACUUAUUUAUUCAAUUUUUCACUUAAACAACAAUAUUUACUUAUACUAUUUAUUGAGACUAUGACAUUGUAUGCACUGUUCUAGUACUAUGAGAAGUUACCAUCUACUCUGUCAAAUACAGGAGGUCCUUUUGAGGGAGAAAACAGUAAUGUUGCUCCCACAUUCAUAUUUGCAAUAGUUCGUAAGACUGCACGUAGAGACAAGAUCGGACUCCCAGUUGAAUGUUCUGGCCAAUAAAUCAAAUGCUAAGCUUCCUAUGAAUAUUUAGAUACUACCUUAUGGCAAGGAGUCAUUAAAACUCAAAGUACUUACUAAAAUGUCAGCACUUAUAAUUAUUAAAAAAAAGAGAUUGCUAAUGUGACCUACUAAAUUAGUUAAGACAUAAAUGUAAGCAACAAAAACUAACUCAAGCUAAGUAAUUUAUUUUUGUCCAAUUCCAAGACUGGGGAUGCUGCUUGGUUUCAAGCAGAGACCCUGCAUGAGGAUUUGCAGCACUCUUCUUAUCUUUGAUAGACUCGGGUCAUCCUAUACCUCCCAUAGUUUCUACCUUAUGCAGAUAUUUUCUUUGGAUCCCAUUUCUAAAUUCCAGGCAAAGAUAAUCUGAUUAGCCCAGUUUGGAGCAAUCAGCCUUCCUUUCUUAUCAGAUACCGCCAGAGGGCAGAAGAAUAUUGUAGUGAGAGAGAACAACCUUAUGUGUAAGGUGUUUCUAAGAGAGGUAUUGCUGAACAGACAUAUCAAUAGUUCCCUUGACUCAGGGAAUACUAUAGGCUUUAGUAAUUGUUGUUCAUCCUACUGUUUAUUGAUGUGUGGUAUUUUAAAUGAGCUCAUACGUGUUUGGAUUUUCACGCAAUUGGAAAGCUAUGUCAACCACAUUAACAUAACUAUGGGAAUAAAUAAACAUCAACCUUCAGGGAAUACUUAGGGCAAAUGUCACCCUUUAGUAUGUGUGGCUAUUUAUUAGUUUUAAUUAUUGAUUAAUUAUUUUGAAAUUAUUAUCUGCUGUAAAACAAUAAUAACUCCUCAAUGCAGCUAAGCCCAGAAUUAAUGUAUAUUGAGAAUAAUUUACUAGCAAUGUGCUAAAAUGUGACAGAUUUACAAUGUUAAAACUAAAUAGAAUACAUUUAUGUCAUUGUAACUUUCUUUAUGGUAUCUUAAAGAAGGGAAAGAGAUAGAGUUAUGGUUAGUAAGCUAGCAAUUACAUAUGUGAGAGAAAGGAAAAUAUCAAUGUGUUAGCAUUCCCAGCCUUUUGUACAACUUCUCAUUUAUUUAAAAUGAUUUUGUGUUUGCCCUUUUGCUCCAGGGAAUUGCUGAAUUGAAUGAGAUAAAGGAUUCAUUGGAAAAUUAUGUGAAUCUGAGCUAAACUAAAUUGAUUUACCAUAAAAAGAAUAAAACACCACUACAGAGGGGGAAAAGUAAUGGUGUAUCCAGGGGACUGGAGAAAGUCAAGCUAGAUACAGUGAAGAAGGAAAGGAUAAUAGAAGGCCAUGUUAGAACUGUUUGCUGGGAGAAAAACAGAAGGGCGAUAGAAUAGUUAACUGACACCAUUAAGAAUUUGGUGAUCAUUUAUUUACGGAUGUUCAGAAAAUUUUUGCAUGUCUUAUUUCAAGGCUUUUGCUCCAUCUGAUAGCCAGGAUAAUUUGUGUGAAUUUUAAAUACGUGUCUUCAUAAGUCCUUAACAUUUGAAUGCCACUGAUAAUGCUGAUGACACCACAGAUCAACCUACACAGAUAUUCUGCAUCUAAGUAUUCCAAGAAAUUAUUCAUUAUGUACAAUAACCCAUAUGAGGACAGUCAAGUACUUUAAUUUUGAGAGCUACAUAGAAUAGAUUCCAGCCAAGUUACAUUUAAUGAGUUAUAUAAUUAGUUGCUUAUUUGGAAGUAGAAAACCCUUAAAUGUUAUUAAAUAUAAUUAUUUUUAUAUUUAUUAAUUUCUAAAUACCAUUAAUUCCUAACUUUCAAACCUUUCUGUUACCCUAAAUUGAAUGGCCUUUUCUAAAAGGGACGCGGUUUCACCUGGAUUAUUAACAAACAGAAUACGAAAUAGCUUUCUAUGUACUUUGAAACAAUCCCUUUUUUGUAACAGUUUAUUGUAACAGAAUAAUGGGCCUCCAAAUGUCUACAUUGCAACUCAUGAAACCUGUUAAUAAGUUUUCUUACAUAGAAAAACGAACUUUGCAGAUCUGAUUAUGCUUAGAGAUCUCGAAGAAAUUAUCCUAGAUUAUCUACAUUAGCUCAAUCUAAUCACAUGAGUGAGUUCUUCAAAUCGGAGAACCUUUGCCAGCUGUGAUGAAAGAGCGAUAUGACAACAGAUAAAGGGUUAGAGAAGUGGCAAUAGUUUUAGCUUUGAAGAUUGAGGGACAGGGCCAUGAGCCAAGCAAUGUAGAUGACCUCUAGAAGCCAAACAGGCAAAGAAACUAAUUAUCCCCUAGAGUCUCUGCAAAUAAAAACACCUUUGCUGAUAUCUUUAUUGUAGCCCAGUGAGACCCAUGCCUGACUUAUUUUCUUACAGUUCUACAGAAAAUAAAUCUUUUUACAGUUCCUUACAGAACUGUAAGUAAAUAAAUUUGUAUUGUUUUUAAGCCAGUAAGUUUGUGGUAAAGCUUUACAACUGCAACAGACAGUUAAUAUAUUACCUAAAAUAUUGCUUGUCAAACUUAGAAUAUAAAUUGCCUGCAGAUCUUGAAAAAUGUAGAUCCUGGCUUAGUACCUGGUAGGUAGUGCCCAGGAUUCUGUAUAUCUAAUAAGGUCCUAGGUUAUACCAAGGCUGCUUGUCCAUGGCUCAUACUUUGGUUAGCAAGAAUUAAAAGCAUGUGCUACAGCUCUGUAACCUUACGUCAAUUUGACACACCCAUGAUCUCAUGACAAAAAAAAGUGAGUUGUAAGCCUCCUAAUUUUGCUUAAGUUACCCUGUUUUGUUUGUUGUUGUCCUUUUUCUACUUAAAUUUUUAUUCACAUGAUAGUCAGUUUUGGAUCCUUUACUGAUUGGGUAACCAGUGAUGAUAUUUAAAAUGAUUUUUCUACUUCAGCCCUCAACUUGACCUUCAGUACUUUCUCAUUUUUUUCCCUUUGAAUUCACCUGUUCUGCUCUUGCAUGUUGACACUUUCAUGACUGACUCCAACUUGCCUGACUCCACAACAAUCCCUUGUAUGACCAACUUUCUAAAUAGAAUACUUGCUACCCCUCCAAUGUUUAGAAGAUAUAAAAGUAGUUUUGCUAGUUAGUGUUAAAAUAAUGUUAUUUAGAAGCCGCCAUAAAAUCCUGUUUCAAACACGCUACCUUUGAGGAAAGACACGUCACACAACAAAUCUAGGCAGAUAAAAAUUACAAGUAGAGUUUUAGAAUAUCAAGAUCAUUAGAUGUUAUAUUUUACCUAGUAUAAUCUCUCUUCAUGUUGUUUCAUUGCUUGUGGUUAUAUGCAUAUUUCAUUGUAAUAGUGUUCUACUUUUUGGAUACACUAGAAUUCAAAUAGAUUCUUCCUGUUAAUCAUCAAUAUCUCAAUGUUCAAUUUUACAUUAGAAUUGCCUCAUAAUCUAAUAGGUGAUAGAUGAUAGAUGAUAGAUAGAUAAAUACAAGAAAGAUAGACAAAGGAAUAUGUAACUACACUCACCUCCUAGAUAAAUUAGAAUCUUUAAGAUGGGAAGAGCUAUUCAUAACUUAAAAAUUUUCCUAGAUAAUUCAAAUUGGCAACAAAGUUUGAAGACAACUAAUAUAAGUAAUAGUUUUGAGAUACUUAAACAUUUUUCUAAUUUACAUAAAAUUUAUUUUCUAAAAUACUUUGAAUUACACAUUCAUUAAAAAUAAAUUUCUACUCAAAAGAUAAUAAGUUAUUAAAAAGUACUUGCAUGGUGAAUUAAUUAUCUAUUGCUCUAUAACCUACCAUUCUAAAACUUAGUGUAUUGUACAUCAAUUCAUCUUGCUCACAACUCUACAAGAUAGGCUGGGCUUAUUCGUGCUUCUUCUGCUGGGCUCACCACUCAUAUGACUGCAGUCACUUGGCAAGUCAACAGUGGCUCUAGGGGCCAUGAGGGCCUCAUUUUCAUGUCUGGCAGUGAGCUAGUUCUGUUGGCUGGGACUCUUUGGCACUUUUUCCUGUAGCCUCUCUAACCUUUCCAGCAGAUCAGCUUAGGUUUCUUACACAGAAGUGACAAAAUUCCAGGUUGCCAAGACCAAUUAUAGAAGUGUUUAUUAAGCCUCAUUUUCUGUAAUACUUAUGGAUAUACCAUUGAUCAAAGCACAUCUCAAGGCUAACCCCAGUAUCAGCAUAGAAAGGAAAUACACAGAGGCAUGAAUUUUGGGAGGUGUGUUUAAUUAUGGUCCAUUAACGUAGUAAUCUAACACACUCAGUGUAAUUUAUUAGUGCCAAAUAUAAAAUCUGCGGCCGGGCAUGGUGGCUGAUGCCUGUAAUCCCAGCACUUUGGGAGGCCAAGGAGGGUGGAUCACCUGAGGUCAGGAGUUUGAGACCAGCCUGGCCAACAUGGUGAAACCCUGUCUCUGCUAAAAAUACAAAAAAGUUAGCUGAGCAUGGUGGCAUGCACUGUAAUCCCAGCUACUAGGGAGGCUGAGCUGAGAUUGUGCCACUGCACUCUAGCCUGGGUGAUAGAGCUCGGCUUCAUCUCAAAAAAAAAAAAAAAAAUCUGCACAUGGCUAAUUAUGUAAUACAUAUUCUGAUUUCAGCUUUUUUAAAGUAUUUUUUGUAAUACUCGUUAACAAAAAGUACAUAAAGUGUAACUAUCAAAGUGAAUAAAUGAUUGCAAAUGAGUAGCAAGGUGACCAAAAAUCAGCAGCAGAAGAAGAAUUUUGCCAGCAUCCCAGAAUCCCCCUAAACAUCCCUUUUGGGUCACAUAUUCUUGUUUCACACAAUGGGUAUCUUUUAUUCUGAAAGUUAAGGAAACACUUUCUUGAUUCUCUUGAGAACCCCACUCAAUGAUUUUUUUUCCUGUUUUUAAAUUUCAUAGAAAUAUGAUAUAAUGCAUGUUAUUUUCUAUCUGGCUUCUUUUGCACAACGGUAUAUGUUUCAGUCACUCAGGGUGCUACAUAGAGCUACAUUUCAUUGAUUGUAUGGCUGUAUUCUUAAAAAUAAACCACAUUUUCUUUGUUAAUUCUUUGGCUGCUGAACAUUUGUUACUAUUUUAGAUUUAUUACAAUGUACUAUAUAUAAUAUUGCUCUAAACAUAAACACAUAUACACUGUACAUAUGCUUUGCAGGUUUCAGUGCACAUAAACACAUGUAUAUGCAUACCCCAAAGAGAUAUAUAAUCUGAAGGAGAAUUAUUUCUGAGUCAUAGAGAAUGCAUUCCCAUUUAAAGAUAAAAAAGAUAAUAAACUUCAGCAGCAUUUGGUUAAUUGUAGUAAGUGUUUCAUAGUCACUUGAUGAGAAUAUGGAUUUAUCAUUCUGCAUUCUGUCACUUAACUAUUUUGCUAAACUUAUCUGUAGAUUUGUUUUAUUUUCUAUGUUUAUAAUUAUCUGUGCAUAAUAAAAAUUUUCCUCUUUCUCUUAUUUCAAUCGUCUUAGUUUUAUUUUUUUUCUUUUUAAAUAUUCAGGCAAAUAUUUUUUGGCUCCACUAUGAUUGAGAGUGGUGAGAACAAGUAAAUAUUUUUACAUGAAAUAAAUUUAUUUGCCAUUCAAGCGCUGUAAAAAUGCAUUUUUGCUUUCUUUAAAUCAAAUUUCCAUUUCAAUUUUAUCUGCAGAUAUUAUGCAUUUCCCUUAUGCCUACUAACUGUAAUUACUCCAUUAUCAUUGGAAUUCAUUAUUAUUUUUCUAUAUUAAGCACUGCGAAAUGAGUUUUGGAGGGAUGCUUUGAAGGCUAUUUUUAUUGCAUGUUAAUAUUAUUAUAUGCAUUAUUUAAGAAAUAAAAUGAAGAAAGUCAUUUUUGGAAAUCCAAUGCCUCAAGAGUCAAUUAAUAUUUUAGAUACUGAAACCACUAUUUAAGAAGGAUCUUAGUCAGUUUAGGAUGCCUAGCAAAAUGCCACAGACUAAGUGACUAAAACAAUAGAAAUUUUCUUCUCACAGUUCUGGAGGCUUCUAAGUCUGAGAUCAGAGUGCCAGCAUGGGGCAGUUCUGGUGAAGGCCCUCUUUCUGGCUUACAGACGACCACUUUAUCACUCUUUUUUUUCACAUGGAUCAAGGCAGAAAGAGAGAGAGAGAGAAGGGGGGAGAGAGAGAGAGAGAAGGAGAGAGAGAGAGAGAGAGAGAGAGAGAGAGAGAGAAAACACACAAGCUCUCUGCUGUCUUUUAUUACAAAGAAUACUAAUCUCAUCUAAACCUAGUUACCUCCCAAAGCCCCCAUCUCUGAAUCAUUACAUUCGGAGGUUAAGGGUUCAACAUUUGAUGUUGGAGCAAGACAAUUCAGUUAAUAACAAAGACUAAAUUCCCUUUUCCUUCUCUGCUUUUUUUUUUUUUGUUGUUGUUUUUUGAGAUGGAGUCUUGCUCUGUCACCAAGGCUAGAGUGCAGUGGCAGGAUCUCGGCUCACUGCAACCUCCGCCUCCCAGGUUCAAGCGAUUGUUCUGCCUCAGUCCCCCAAGUAGCUGGGACCACAGGUGCGUGCCACCACGCCCAGCUAAUUUUUUGUAGUUUUAGUAGAGAUGGGGUUUCACCGUGUUAGGCAGGAUGGUUUCUAUCUCCUGACCUCAUGAUCUGCCUGCCUAGGCCUCCCAAAGUGCUGGGAUUACAGGUGUGAGCCACCACGCCCGGUCCCCUUCUCUCUUUUUUCCUUCCUUCCUUUCCUCUUUCUUUUCUUUUUUCCUUACUUCUUUCCAUUAUUUUUCUUCUUCCCUCUUUCAUUCCUUUUCUUGCUCUCUCUUCCUUUCUAGCCUUCCUACUUUCCUUUUUUAUUAAAAUUAUUUGAACAAUAAUCAUUACAUAGUAAUAUAAUUUUAUUUUGGUAACAAUUUCAUAAUUAUCUUUGAAUGAUUUAUUAUCUCUUCGAAAUUUUCAAGUUGUCAAGCAUUUUCUUCAAAUAUCCUGAGCUACCUUUUUGCCUGAGGAUAAAACAAGGAAACAGGCAUACCUCUGAAAUAUUGUAGGUUGGGUUCCUGGCCCCUACAAUAAAGUGAAUAUCUCAAUAAAGCAAGUCACACAAAUUUUCUGGUUUUCUAGAACAUAUAAAAGUUAUGUUUACACUAUGCUGUAGUUUAUUGAGUGUGCAAUAACAUUAUGUCUAAAAAUAAUAAUGUACAUACCUUAAUUAAGAUUUUAUUGCUAAAAAUUCUAAUGAUCAUCUGAGCCCUCUGUGAGUUGUAAUCUUCUUGCCCAGUUGUUGAUGGCUGCUGACUGACAAGGGUGGUGGUUGCUGAAGGUUGAAGUUGCAGGGAACAUUCUUAAAAUAAUAAAAUAAUAAAAUCUGCAGCAUCCAUUGACACUUAUUUUCAUGGAAGAUUUCUCUGUGGUGUGCAAUGCUGUUUGACAGCCUUUUAUCCAAAGUGGGACAUCUUUCAAAAUUAGAGUGAAUUCUGUCAAACAUUGCUGCAGCUUUAUCAACUAAGUGUAUACAAUAUUCAAAAUCCUAAAUCAAACUAUCUAUAUGUUUUUAUUAAAUUGACCUGUGAUUUUCCAUGUAAACACAUAAUUUAUAUAGAACUAAAUUACUUUAUUUCCAUAUAAAAGAACAGCCAUCUUGAGAUAUUGAAAUACAAGUUAUCCCUUUUAACUUGACAAUGUAGUACUUUUUUCUGGUCCUUUGCAUGUUUGUAUAUAUACAUCAUUAUAAUAAUGUUUUAUCUGAAUACAUUAGAUAAACUUAUUACAGCCUUAUUAUCACUUUAUCUUUAACAUGGAGGACUCAAAUAUAAGGUAUACUUGCUCUGCACUACCACUGAAAUAUUUACAUUGGCAAAUUAAAAGUAAAAAACACCCAAAUCCUAGUUUCACAGGUUGGUCAUGAAUAUUAACAAAAUGAUAUUAUUAAUUAUACUAGAAAUUCCUUACUCAAGGAUAGUAGUCUAAUCAC
rnacentral:tRNA from 10 species